UCUAACCCAUAAAAAAAAUUGGAUUAUGGAUGCUAUUGGUCGCGAAAGCCUACGUGUUAAACUCGGUUUCGUUGAGUGACUUUUCUCGUUCACAGAGUCGGUGGCCUCACGGAUAGAAGUGGACCGUUUCAAGCAUCACUCCACCGUGGAAGAAUCGACUCACUACUCGCUUAUACGUUGUACGCAUCAACUCAUUUCGUACCGGACGUAGCCAACCGUGCUAAUCGGAGUGCCACCCCGACCCGCUGCCAUUCGCACGCCGUGGAUGCCCAUCGCAGCUUCCUACCCUGGGCGAUCUCAGUCGCCUUUGGCUGGCAACCCCUGAGGCCAGCUCUGCUUUCCACAUGCGAAGGCAUCCUCCCCGCCUGCCCGUGGGCUCGCGGCCAAAACCCGCGGAGAGAUGAACAAAGGAAUUAUCUCCGCCACGUGCCACUGGGGGACGCCUCGACGUGGCGAAGAACGGUCGCAAUCAAGACACGCAUUGAUACGCACGUAAAUAAAUAAAUAAAAGGGCGCACACGUCUUGCGUAAACAGCUCGCGAUGGCGGUGACGAUGGAACGAGCACGACGCUUGGCGAUUUGCGUCGAGAGACACAACGAGGAGCAGAGUCGAUUCGACAACACGUGACAUCACAGGGAUGCUCGGCCCACUCACAUCGAAGGGUCCUGGAGAUCUGCCAGAACCACUUUAUCGGGAAAAUUGAGGACAAAACUGGAUUUGCGCCGCUGCCCUCGUUUCGCUCCCCGUCUCGCCACUUCUGCAACUUAUUUUGUGAUCCUCGUCCCGCUCUUACCGCGUCCUCCGCAUGUGGACAGCGGCGUGCAAUGCGUGCCUCUCCUCUCGGGCAGCUUUAGACGAUUAAAUGGCCUAAUUUAA